rnacentral:rRNA from 1 species
AGUGAACGCUGGCGGUAGGCCUAACACAUGCAAGUCGAACGGCAGCACAGUAAGAGCUUGCUCUUACGGGUGGCGAGUGGCGGACGGGUGAGGAAUACAUCGGAAUCUACUUUUUCGUGGGGGCUAACGUAGGGAAACUUACGCUAAUACCGCAUACGACCUACGGGUGAAAGCACGGGAUCUUCGGACCUUGCGCGAUUGAAUGAGCCGAUGUCGGAUUAGCUAGUUGGCGGGGUAAAGGCCCACCAAGGCGACGAUCCGUAGCUGGUCUGAGAGGAUGAUCAGCCACACUGGAACUGAGACACGGUCCAGACUCCUACGGGAGGCAGCAGUGGGGAAUAUUAGACAAUGGGCGCAAGCCUGAUCCAGCCAUACCGCGUGGGUGAAGAAGGCCUUCGGGUUGUAAAGCCCUUUUGUUGGGAAAGAAAAGCAGCAGGUUAAUACCCCGCUGUUCUGACGGUACCCAAAGAAUAAGCACCGGCUAACUUCGUG